rnacentral:tRNA from 1 species
GCCCGGCUGGCUUAGUCAGUGAAGCAUGCGACUUUAGAUCUUGGAGUUGUGAGUUCGAGCCCCAUGUUGGGUG